CCCGCGCCGCGCGUGGGCCGUGCGGGAGGAGGCGGCGGGAGCGGGCAUUGUGCGGGCGGCUCCGGGCUGCCCCGGGGGCUGCUCGCAGCCUGGGAGCCGGGUCCGGCCCGUCCUCAACCGCCGGCAGCGGCACCCACAGCGGUUCUGAUACCGGCACCGCGAUCCACGCUGCUGGCGGCACCAGCAUCGGCAUCGCUCUUGACAUCAGCACGGACAUCGGCACCGGGUUGGGCACCGAGACCGGUACCUGGAUCAACAGUGGCAUCGCCCGUCUGUGUUGGGAUCAACGGCGACAUCAGCACCCGGGUCAGCACCGCCAUCGGUACCACCGUCGCCAUCGGUACCACCAUCCCCAUCCAUACCCACACCGACAUCGACACCGCCGCGCAGCCCAGAUCACCUUCUUUACAACUGCGACGUGGCAGAAGGGGGAAGUUACAGGAAGAAAUUCCUGUCCUCACGCUCCAUCCUCCUCUGGACACAUCCUGUGGACAGCAAUUAGAGGUCAUUAGCUGGUGGGGUAUCGGCGUGGCUGAUCUUUCCUACCUCAGCAUGGUCCAGCCCAGCUCUGUAGGGAUUUUCUGCCAUCGGUUCCUUUUGGGAUGCUAUGCUGCCCCAUAAUGCAAAGCACAGACAUGGGUACAUCGGGGUCUGCAGGUUGGGGGACACCUCUGCCUCAUGCAUGCACCAGGUUCACGUUGGCAGCAGUUGGGUUUGCCCUUCAGAUGCUCAGGGAAGCUCUGAGUUUGGAUGUCAGCGAGUGCAUGAGCCAGUCGCGCUGUUACCCUCGAGCAGGACUUGCUCUGAUUUGUGUUUUCAGCAUUAUAAGCAAAAGUGACAGUUUAUGCAAACAGCCCGGAAUCCUGUCUGGAGAGACUCAGGUUGGAUUUUUCCUGGUUUAAUGAGGGCAAUAACUACAGGCGAGCUUCGCUGUCAGCCCUGAGCAGCAAUCCUAGCAUGGAGCAGCAACGCUGCUUGCUCCUCUGCAAGACCGCAUCCCAUGAUUUCAGUAGAGAUCACCUGUGCUGGAUGUGAUGACAAGGGCUUAUAGGGUGACAGGAAUUACUGUGUAAAGCCAUUAGGCUAACAAGCAAAUCCACUGCUUGGUGACAAUGGGAACACACAUUUGCACUGAGGUGACAGAGCCAUGGGCUGGAGGCUGAGGGCUCUGGGCUGUGCCUGACCUUUAGGGGCUGGGCAUCAAUUUGAGGGGAUCUCACAGUAAAUCCCACGGCCAUUACUCCAUGCUUUGGAGCAGCACCAGAUCUCAACCCAAAAAACACUGGGGCCAACCUGCUGUCUGUGUGGGAGAUCUCCAGAUCGGUGUUUAAUUAUGACCAUCUGCUGCUGCAGGCUUCAAAUGCAUCUCAGUGGGUUUCAUCUCUGCUCAAAUCAGCCCCCUUGGGUUUUCCUCAAUGCUGGUUUUCUUGCCCAAGGCUCUCAUUCUCAUCUGAUAUGGGGCAGUUCGUUGUUCCCCAGCUCACAGCACUCAUUUGUAUUCAGCGUUACACUUCACGAGCACUUCCCCUUUUUUAAUUGUGCUCAUCAUCUCCUAAUAGUCUCAAUGCUGUGGGGUUGUGGGUGGAUUUUUGGAGACUGCAGCAUUUCCAGCCUUUAUUGG
rnacentral:lncRNA from 1 species